rnacentral:rRNA from 1 species
UACGGAGGGUGCAAGCGUUAUCCGGAUUCACUGGGUUUAAAGGGUGCGUAGGCGGACAGGUAAGUCAGUGGUGAAAUCUCUGGGCUUAACCCAGAAACUGCCGUUGAUACUAUUUGUCUUGAAUAUCCUGGAGGUAGGCGGAAUAUGUCAUGUAGCGGUGAAAUGCUUAGAUAUACAUAGAACACCGAUAGCGAAGGCAGCUUACUACAGGAUGAUUGACGCUGAGGCACGAAAGCGUGGGGGAGCAAAC